UGCAGCCUCAGGGCAUGAGCAUUAGCAAACGGCGAAAGUCAGCUGGCAGAGAUGUUUUGGCCUUUUCAAUUGCGUGGAGUAUCUUGAAAGUCACGAUAUCCACAAACAUUGGAGCCUUAUGGAACUCCACGCCUGCGACGUCGUUUUUAACCGAUCGCUGCUUAAGCUGCUGGAGCUCGUUUGAACCGUCGAAAAUUUCUUUCAACCUCGG
rnacentral:misc_RNA from 1 species